GAAAAAUAAAAGACAGUUUAGAAAGCACAUGGAGUUGGCUUGAAUGCAGAUCUGAAUAAUGCACCUGAAAUCAGGAAACAGCCUACAAUCGAGCAGAAAACCUCAAGAGAGAAGUGGGCUGCCAACAUUUGGCUCCUCACUGCCCAGUGUCCAAAAUGGAGGUUCUUCGUCGCAAGUGGAGAACUGAACUCACCAGGUCCUGCUCUGACUACCAAACAAGUUCUCAAACUUGUCCACAUAAACCAGGUCACUUGUGAUUAUCAGCAUUGUACAUGAGCUUCCAAGAUCAAUGUGUGGCAGUGACUCCCGCAAACAGACAUCAAUGCUGUGAUCAGUGUCCUGAUACUGAUCAUUGUGCAUGGAACCUUGGAGCAACUGUGCAUAGCGCAAUAGUGCAGUUUAAUGGGAACAUUGCCCGUUGUUGGGACUGCCUUGGAUUAUUAAAUCCAGUGUAAACCUGACAGACCAGGGAAUGUAGGAAUAAAACCCUAAAACUCAACAAAAUGUCAAUGAUGCAAAUAUCAAAUCACACCAGAAUCAGAUAGGCAUUCACUUUGAACAUGAAGAUGAAGACCACUGGUUAAAGUUAACAGAUCUAAAACUGGAAAAGCACAGCAGGUCAGACAGCAUCUG